rnacentral:rRNA from 1 species
CCUACGGGUGGCAGCAGUGGGGAAUAUUGCACAAUGGGGGGAACCCUGAUGCAGCGACGCCGCGUGGGUGAAGGAGUACUUCGGUACGUAAAGCCCUAUCAGCAGGAAAGAAAAUGACGGUACCUGACUAAGAAGCCCCGGCUAAAUACGUGCCAGCAGCCGCGGUAAUACGUAUGGUGCAAGCGUUAUCCGGAUUUACUGGGUGUAAAGGGAGCGCAGGCGGCACGGCAAGCCUGAUGUGAAAGCCCGCGGCCCAACCGCGGGACUGCAUUGGGAACUACCGGGCUGGAGGGCCGGAGAGGUAGGCGGAAUGCCUAGUGUAGCGGUGAAAUGCGUAGAUAUUAGGAGGAACACCAGUGGCGAAGGCGGCCUACUGGACGGUGACUGACGCUGAGGCUCGAAAGCGUGGGGAGCAAACAGGAUUAGAUACCCCAGUAGUC